UCCCUGCUUCCUCCCAAGGCUUUUCCUGAGGAAACCAGGCCGGAGGGGCGGGCUGCCAUGAGGCACCUCCCUGAGAGGGCGGGCGGGUGCUGGGAAGACCAGACUCCAGAAAAAAACGAAAGGGAAAGGAAGACCAGUGGUGAGGGCUGCGGGGGAGCUUAAGGGGCUGGUCUCCGUCUGGAGGGGGCAGGAAGUUGAAGCUGUAAGCCUCCUGGCAUCUCCCAGGUUCCUCUGGCUCAUCUGAGAAUUAAAUUGACGUUAGACAGAUUAAACAAAAGUUUAAAACAUGUAUACAUGGGACAAACCCAGGAAAACCGAGGAACGCCACAAAAUGGCAGAAGCCCUCACUUAAUCCCAUGCUCAGAUAAAGACAAAAGAAGAUGCUGAGAGUGGGGAGAGUCCGGGACUUCAAAGGGAAGGAGGUAAUUUACAGGACUGGCCGGAAAUAAUGGGUACCUUGGCAGCCCUCUGGGCUCCGUUUGUCUUGAAGUCUCCAAGCCCUCGCCAGAUUUUGGUAAGUCCCCCGGGUGUGCACAACCAAGUUCCCUUGUCCUUGCUCAUCUGGGAAGAUCUGCAUGGCGGAUCUUCAUUUGUUGGGCGCCCCCCGAGUGUAGGACACGGACUAAGCUGGGACUGGAAGCACUUUGGUUUUUGGUUUUGGUCUUCAUUUUGGCUUCCAUUUGUGCCCGAGUGGUUUUGGGAAAGCGUGCUUGUUUGGUAUUUGUUGUUGUUGUCUGUUUGUCUGUCCUUUUAAAAGUGUUAACAUGGGAGGUGCUGCCUCUAUUCCACCUAAGAGCCCCUAGGGAAAAACCUUGGCUGAUAGUCGGCCUAUAGCUAUAAGCCAAUGUCUGAAGAGGGAUGAUUUUCUUUUGUAACACCACGCGGCCACAAUA